rnacentral:tRNA from 1 species
AAAAUUAACCAUAUAAAUACAGAGAUUUCUAAUCUUGUGUCACAAUUUAUUAGAACCUGUACUUACAAUUUUU